GAUGAACGCUGGCGGCGUGCCUAAUACAUGCAAGUCGAGCGAACGGACGAGAAUCUUGCUUCUCUGAUGUUAGCGGCGGACGGGUGAGUAACACGUGGAUAACCUACCUAUAAGACUGGGAUAACUUCGGGAAACCGGAGCUAAUACCGGAUAAUAUUUUGAACCGCAUGGUUCAAAAGUGAAAGACGGUCUUGCUGUCACUUAUAGAUGGAUCCGCGCUGCAUUAGCUAGUUGGUAAGGUAACGGCUUACCAAGGCAACGAUGCAUAGCCGACCUGAGAGGGUGAUCGGCCACACUGGAACUGAGACACGGUCCAGACUCCUACGGGAGGCAGCAGUAGGGAAUCUUCCGCAAUGGUCGAAAGCCUGACGGAGCAACGCCGCGUGAGUGAUGAAGGUCUUCGGAUCGUAAAACUCUGUUCUUAGGGAAGAACAUAUGUGUAAGUAACUGUGCACAUCUUGACGGUACCUAAUCAGAAAGCCACGGCUAACUACGUG
rnacentral:rRNA from 1 species